rnacentral:rRNA from 1 species
UACGGAGGGUGCAAGCGUUAUCCGGAUUCACUGGGUUUAAAGGGUGCGUAGGUGGGCAAGUAAGUCAGUGGUGAAAUCUCCGGGCUUAACCCGGAAACUGCCAUUGAUACUAUCUGUCUUGAAUACCGUGGAGGUGAGCGGAAUAUGUCAUGUAGCGGUGAAAUGCUUAGAUAUGACAUAGAACACCAAUUGCGAAGGCAGCUCACUACGCGAAUAUUGACACUGAGGCACGAAAGCGUGGGGAUCAAACAGG